rnacentral:rRNA from 1 species
UAGGAUCAGCGACUGGGGUGAAGUCGUAACAAGGUAGCCGUAGGGGAACCUGCGGCUGGAUCACCUCCUUU